rnacentral:lncRNA from 1 species
UCUUGAUGUGCACUCUCUCUUUGGUGAAAGGUGGAGAGAACAUUCUAGGCAUUACUUGAAGGCUUGAUAGAGCAUGCACGAUUUGUGCAAGAAAUUGAGAGCUGUUCCAUGUUCCACAAGGUCAAGUGAAGGCAAAGAGCAGACAUUGGAGGUAAAGCUGAAAAGCAGAGCCUCGUCUGCAAUGAUAAGACACUUGGACUUUAUCUUGGAGAUGACAAGGAGCUUCUGGUGGGAGUUCGCAAGGGUGGUCAUGAGGAAAAGCAGCAUUCUCCCUCCCAAACACCUGGGAUGCUCCCUUUCUCAAGCACUUCCACUGUCUGGGCUCAGGACCCUGUCUCAUCAGCUCGCUCCACAGUCAAAUGCCUUGUGAAUUUUCUUUGCCAAAUGAAUGUGCACAGAAGCCAAGGCAGCGUGGUUUACUCUAAAAAGAAUCCAUUUGGGGGCAGCCAUGUCCCUGCGGGGUCCCUGGCACCUGAAUAUAAACCUCUUUCUCUUUUGAAAAUAUUACUAAAUAUGUUAAUUUGGGAACAAAAUGCAGUCACCAUGUCCACCCACAAUGGGCAGUUAUGCAGAAGAUAGGAGGGUGGCAGAGAGGGGACUGCAAAGUGUGGGUGAAGAAACAUAAGAGAAGAGGAAGAGGGUAAUAAAAAGAGGAACAGAAGCUCAUUCUCCCUGGAGAGCAUCAGGGCAGGAUGCUGUGAUUAUUCUUAUUGCAAGGAAAUAUGAGCAGCUUGUCUUGAUUCGGCAAUCUCAGAAUGUCAACAUUUAUCCCCAAAUAGCCAAGUUUUCUGUCACCAACUCGGGAGGGGUAGCAGCCUUGAGUGCUUCUCCAUGGAUUCUUCAGCAACUGGCCAGCAAGAUUUAAAUGAAAUCUCAUGUGUUACAUUUACACCUACUCCCCCUUUUAAGUUGGAUUCUUUAUUACCACUGGUAUUUGGGGUGGCAUUUUAAUACCCAUGUCAAAAAGUUGAAAGCAAUUUGCACGGAGUUUGUUCUCCAAGGAUUCUCCCCUGUUCUUACCAGCCUGAGAAGAAGAAAAGUGCAACAUUACUUCUUCAUUUUUC